UGCAUGAAUGUUUGUAAACAUACUUUGAAUAAAAACGUUCCGAUAGAGACUACCAAGUUAAAUUGAAAAUCAUUUAGUAUGCUGUUGAUACUACAUCAGAGUACCAUUAGUGUCUGUCAUAUCAAGAAUGUUUAAUUUAGAAGAGGAAAUGGAAAUAAUUUUAAUCUAUGGAAAAUCAGAGAGAAACUCUGCGCGCAAUUGUACGCACAAAGUUUCUAUAUACUAUUCCUUUCAAAGAACCAGAGUUGAUCUUCAUAUUUAAGAAAUUCUUCUAUAUCUAUCAAGUGUAUAUAUUAGGUAAUAUUUACCUCGAAAUAAUGCUUUCUUUUUAAUACAACGUUUUUCCAUAAAACUUUUUUUAUAUUGAUGUAUAAAAUAUAUAACGACGGAUUGACUAAAUCAAUCAGAAAAAGCAUGUUUUAAAGAGAAUACAAGUAUCGGAAAGACUGCAUUCACAAUUAUAUAGGAUCUAUGAUGCAUAUAUGAAAAAAUACGUUGAAAAGGCUCUAUAGAAAUAUAUCGAUAUCAACUGAAAAACAUAAAGACUUACCCGUCCGUAACCGUACAACUUGCAUCUUAGAAUUAUGUCCAGAUCGUGAAGCGAGUAUGCUUUCCACACGACUCCAAACGCUCAGAACGGAACCGGCUAACACAUUAUAGGAACGUCUUCUCAAUCCCACCUCACAAUCUAUACCGAGAAUGAAACGCAAUACUUUUGAUUUUUUAUUGCAUAUAAUUGGACCUAUAUUAAAUAAUUUUCCAUUUAAAGGGAGAGAACAAAUUGAUAUAAGAAAACGAUUAUUAAUUAUCAUUUAUGUUUUGGCAACACCAGACUCUUAUCGCACUGUAAAUGAAAGAUUUGGAGUUAACAAAUCAACAGCAUAGUUUAGUGUCAAAAGAGUGGUUCGAGCAAUUUACGGCAUCCAAAAUCAGUUUAUCAGAUGACCAACUUAUGAAGGAAUUCAAAUAACUUUGACAAAUAUAUAGAGGUUAUGCGUCAAUACCUAACACCUAAUACUGCCUAGAACGAACAAUUGAUUUACUGGUGAGAGAUACGAAACGCAGCAGCAGUAAUUCUCAAUGCUGCCAAUUUUAUCAUUUUUACUGACAGUAACCACAGCUAUUUUCAAACACACCCUUA